CCUACGGACGGCAGCAGUAGGGAAUAUUGCUCAAUGGGGGAAACCCUGAAGCAGCAACGCCGCGUGGAUGAUGAAGGUCUUCGGAUUGUAAACUCCUUUUGUUAGAGAAGAUAGUUAUGGUGUUUAACUAUUAACCACUGGCUAACUCCGAGCCAGAAGCCGCGGUCAUACGGCGGGUGCAAGCGCUACUUGGAAUUACUGGGCGUAACGUGCGCGGAGGUGGGCUGGCAUGUCAGAUGUGAAAUCCUAUGGCUUAACCAUAGAACUGCAUUUGAAACUGGUAUUCUAGAGUAGGGGAGAGGUAGGUGGAAUUCUAGGUGUAGCGGUAAAAUGCGUAGAGAGCUAGAAGAAUACUGAUUGCGAAGGCGACCUGCUAGAACAUAACUGACGCUGAUGCGCGAAAGCGUGGGGAGCAAACAGGAUUAGAUACCCCUGUAGUC
rnacentral:rRNA from 1 species